rnacentral:rRNA from 1 species
CCCAGACUCCUACGGGAGGCAGCAGUGGGGAAUAUUGCACAAUGGGGGAAACCCUGAUGCAGCAACGCCGCGUGAGUGAGGAAGUAUUUCGGUAUGUAAAGCUCUAUCAGCAGGGAAGAGAAUGACGGUACCUGACUAAGAAGCCCCGGCUAACUACGUGCCAGCAGCCGCGGUAAUACGUAGGGGGCAAGCGUUAUCCGGAUUUACUGGGUGUAAAGGGAGCGUAGACGGCAUGGCAAGUCUGAAGUGAAAGCCCGGGGCUCAACCGCGGGACUGCUUUGGAAACUGUUAAGCUGGAGUGCAGGAGAGGUAAGUGGAAUUCCUAGUGUAGCGGUGAAAUGCGUAGAUAUUAGGAGGAACACCAGUGGCGAAGGCGGCUUACUGGACUGUAACUGACGUUGAGGCUCGAAAGCGUGGGGAGCAAACAGGAUUAGAUACCCGGGUA